CGGCGGACGGGUGAGUAACGCGUGGGUAACCUACCUCAUACAGGGGGAUAACAGUUGGAAACGGCUGCUAAUACCGCAUAAGCGCACAGUACCGCAUGGUACCGUGUGAAAAACUCCGGUGGUAUGAGAUGGACCCGCGUCUGAUUAGCUAGUUGGUGGGGUAACGGCCUACCAAGGCGACGAUCAGUAGCCGCCUGAGAGGGUGACCGGCCACAUUGGGACUGAGACACGGCCCAA
rnacentral:rRNA from 1 species